CAGUAGCCGCGGGAAUACGUAGGUGGCAAGCGUUGUCCGGAAUUAUUGGGCGUAAAGGGCUCGCAGGCGGUUUCUUAAGUCUGAUGUGAAAGCCCCCGGCUCAACCGGGGAGGGUCAUUGGAAACUGGGAAACUUGAGUGCAGAAGAGGAGAGUGGAAUUCCACGUGUAGCGGUGAAAUGCGUAGAGAUGUGGAGGAACACCAGUGGCAAAGGCGACUCUCUGGUCUGUAACUGACGCUGAGGAGCGAAAGCGUGGGGAGCGAACAGGAUUAGAUACCCGCGUAGUCCCUGUCUCUUAUAA
rnacentral:rRNA from 1 species